rnacentral:rRNA from 1 species
CCUACGGGUGGCAGCAGUGGGGAAUAUUGCGCAAUGGGCGAAAGCCUGACGCAGCGACGCCGCGUGAGGGAUGAAGGUCUUCGGAUCGUAAACCUCUGUCAGCAGGGAAGAACGGUCACUGUGCUAAUCAGCAGUGAAUUGACGGUACCUGCAAAGGAAGCACCGGCUAACUCCGUGCCAGCAGCCGCGGUAAUACGGAGGGUGCGAGCGUUAAUCGGAAUUACUGGGCGUAAAGCGCUCGUAGGCGGUUUGUUAAGUCAAGGGUGAAAUCCCCGCGCUCAACGUGGGAACUGCCUUUGAUACUGGCAAACUGGAGUGUGUGAGAGGAUAGUGGAAUUCCAGGUGUAGGAGUGAAAUGCGUAGAUAUCUGGAGGAACAUCAGUGGCGAAGGCGACUAUCUGGCACAUGACUGACGCUGAGGAGCGAAAGCGUGGGUAGCAAACAGGAUUAGAUACCCCAGUAGUC